CUGAGCUCGUCCAUUGGCUCGUAGCAGGAGAGCAAAAAUGGCGUAGUGUGGAAGGUCUGCGAGGGAAGGAGACGAGGGGCCCUUCUCCUCGCUCCGCCUCCCCAGGGGUGAGGAAGGAGAAGGAGAAAUGUUUUAUUCUCCGCGUCUUCACCCGGUUUGGUCUUUGUGUAUUCUGCCACUUUGGGGAUGAGUGUGGAGCGUGUGUCGGCAGAGGAAGAAGCCUGGCUUUUGUUUAGCUUUGUUUGUAGCCACAGUGCACCGACCGUACGAACCAACAAUCAGCAAGCUGUACUACAGUCACCGAAGGUCCAGAGUGGAGUGAUGUCCCCCUGACCCAUCAGUUCAGAAGCAGCUGUAUCGACGGCUCAGCAUCACCUCAAAGGAGAUGAGUCAGCAGCCAUUGUGAAGACGACGUAUUUGGGCUUCUUGGACACACGCCCCUCCUUCCUGACAUUACCAAGUUGUUGGAGCACGUUCCUCGACAGCAUCCCUUCUUGUCCUUGCCUCUUAUGUUGUCACAUAGGACAUCUGCCAAAGAAUGUCCUUCUCAGGCUAGUCUUAAAUUCAUCAUGUACAUACUGACUACAUGUAGCCUGAUCAUGACUCACAACUCCAUAAGCAGGCUGUAAAGGUUCAGAUUUCUGUUGUGGUCUCAGCCGUUUUUGCAUUAUUUCCAGUAUGUAUUUGUGAAGUUCCUGAAACUGCAUGUAUGCAAACUCACGAUUUAACACCCCCACCCUGUAAUUGUAUAAAAGCAGUUGAAGGUUAUUCGUGUGCCAUUUUCUACAAAGAAACAAAAGACACAAGAUACUGUAGCAAAGAUCAAGGUCUGUGAUUAAAUUACACUCCUAUGGUGUUCCCCCCCCCCCCCCCCCCUCUACCUCACUGAUGAACAACUCCAUCAGGAGUGAUGAGUACAAGUAGCUUAAAAGAGCAAGUGCCACAGCAGAUAUAUAUCAUUUCUGGAUGGAUUUCAUUUUAGUUGGAUACCACAGGUAUAGAUUUUAAGAAAUCAGGUUGAUGCCCAUGUAACAAAUGCCCUCUCUUAGUUGAUUACAAAAAAAAAAAAAAAGACUCGAACUGUGGUCUCCUAUGCAUCUAAUCUGAAGAGGGCAGCAAUCUAUUUCUUGCUCCUGUAGCUCAGCAUGACCCGUUUCAGGUAGCAUCUGGUUAUUAUGCUCAUCAGUUGAAGCACAAUUUCUGCAAAGUAGAUAUCUCGAGUUUAAUUAUGUCCUUUAAUCUGUAAUAUGCUUUGGUUUAGUGUCCUGCCCUCAUUUUAAUGUUCUAGUUGUGUCUUGUAGUAAGCAUGCGAAUGAUGACUGACAUCAUUCGGGAGAGAAUGAACUCUAAAUACCACAUAAACAAGAUACCCACGUCUGCUUUUCCACCAUGUUACAGUAGAAUUUUAAUCAAACAUGAUUUUGACUUUCCCCAAACUCUUGGCUAAAUUUAAAGAAUUUUUUGUCCUUACUUCAAGGUAACCCUGAUGUUUUUUUUCAUCCACCUUAUUUUAAGUCCACUUUUAGAUGUGUGCAUUUUGUUUUGUUAAAGAAGGGAGAGGAACAUGUAUUCUGGGACUUGUGCAAUAUUUGAUCUUAACUGUCAUGUUGUUAACCAAACUGUAUAUUGUAUAAACAAGUGACAAGUUGUUUGAAAGCAACAAAAUCACCAAUGUCUUCCAUUAAGAAAUGUAUAGACUCAUGUGCAUUAGCUUAUUUAACAGGCCUCUGCUGCCAACAUUAUGGUAGCCAUGCAUGACUAGUAAUGACGCUUGCUUCAUGAAGAAUAGUGAAACAGAUUUCUAUACUAAAGUGGAAUGCAAAACUGUAGAAACCACUUCAGUAAAAUUAAAAGAUAACAGGUUGGUGUAGUACUUUUUUUUAGUACAAAGUGUUUUACCCAGCAUGCUUAUUGAUCUUACACCAGUGAUGGCUCUCAUUUUUACCCCAGGUGGAGGCUGCAAGUAUUAUCCAAAUGUUAAAUCUGACCCAAAGUAUUGAUUGAAGUCACUUUAAAUUGUCUAAUAACUUGUAGUUUUGAAAAUAACUGGUAUUAUAACCAGCACUUGGAUUUUUAUCUGGUGGGGAGGCAAAAAAUUUACUUUUCUUUAACCUCAAAGCAUCAACGUAGGUAGUUUUUACAUGGAGAAAAAUAUGAUUUAGCAUAACGCAGUAGAUUUAAAUACUUCAGUUCUAGACUUAGGCAAGGAAACAGUGUAGUAUCAUAAAUUAGGGUCUCAAUACGACUUUCUAAUGUACAUAACUCAUAAUUUUAGCAUUUGUAUCAUAUUUUAAUCCACAAAUUGUAUUUAAUUAGUGUUUUAGAAGCAAUAACCUACAGUAAUGCAUGUGUUUAGGGUGGAAGUGUUAAAGGAUUCUGUAAUAUUAUGUGGAAAGAAACCUGGUGUCAUUUAACAGAGGACACAAAUUAAGCUAAAUACUUCAUAGGUUGUUUUCCAUGCAGUGUAUUCUUUUAGAACUUAAUCAUUUCAUAUGAGAGAUGUUUUGUGCAUUUAAAAAAAUAAAAUCUUAAUCCUUGUUGCAGUAUAAUCCAACCUAACCCUCUUCUUAAAAUAAUAAAAAUAAACCACAUGGUUGCAAGGACACAACUAAUUUAAGAAAAGCACUUUUUUUUGGUACAAACCUGCAUUGUCAUCGACAUCAUUCUGUCUUGAAUAAUGUGUUUAAAAAACCCUGUAACAUUCUGUGGGGAUUUAUAAUCACAAUUUAAACGCAAGUAGCAACUUGAAUAUAUGGGUAAAAAAUAAAUAUAUGCAUGAUUUAGAAUGACGAAUGAUUUUUGUAUUGCAUGCAAUAAUCCAAUUUUGUAAUGUGAAUGAGUGUAAGUAGGAUCAUGAAGUGUUCGUAUGAGAUACUGCGUAAAAUGCUUGGGGAUUCUGAGCUUUGAUAAUCACUUCUGAGCGGACGCAAACUACACCACUUAAAGUCAAAUACGUUAACAGGAGCUGGUUUUUAUUGUUGCUGCUGUCUGAAGGAUCAAAGUGGAAGAAGCACCACAGUGUGGCACUGAUCAAACCUCUGUUCCCAAGAAAACAAAGCUUAAUUAAUGUUUAGCAACGUUACUUUGUUCAACUUUUCCACUGAGGAGGUGGACGUGUAGAAUCUAUGCACUCCAGAGAGAGGAAACGGGCAUGCUGAGUACGUGUGAGCCUCUUGUCUGGCUAUGUAUCAAGUAUUAAAAGAAUCUGUAUCAGAAAUUCAGCAAUAAAUGCAGCAUGGUGCCAA